GAAACGAUCUCACCGACUACCAGCUCGAAGCACCCACCUGUCACAAUCGCGUCGGAAACCUCGGUGCGCAACAAGUCAACCGGACCUACGAAAUCCAUCGGGUCAGUAACCAACCCACCAAUCUAAAAUAUCCAACUCACAAACCACACACAAUUCCCCAAAAUCGGUUUCCUAAAAUCGAUCACCGUAACUCGCCGGAAGUCCCGAAAAUCACACCGGGACGUCGUUGAGACCCACUAAGUGUUCCGAA
rnacentral:lncRNA from 1 species